GUGCAGACAUGAGCGGAUGUCGUUGGAUGUGCAUGUUGAGGCCAGGUGACUACUUGAUUUCAAGUUUUAUAGUUUCGAGAAACACGUGCCUAAAAUUGAGAAUUGAUGCAGAUUGCUGGAGAAUGUAACAGUGUCUUCAACCAGUGUGGAGAUAUUCUGCAGUGACAGAGACAUAGGCCUAGAUGCAACAACUUGAACACGUGAAAACAUCGACAGGAGUAGCAAAAUACCCCGCUACGCAAAAAUAACCCCUAAAAAUCCAUGGCUACAUAGUUGAGUGGAGGUUGUUCAACCUGUAGGUUAUCCUUGCGUCAAGGUUGUUUUGCUCGUUCUUGAAGUGAGCAUGUUUCCACAAAGUUUCCUGCAGCGGUGUGCGAAGGUUUAUUCGUGCCCGGGCACCUGUCUGUUGAUGCAUCGACAAUUACCAGAACAGAUUGGUCCGAGUAACUGGAACUCUACAAAUUGGUGGCUGGUCAACUGGUACGCGUGCCAACUUGUGCGCUGACGUGGUGUACUCCCAGGAUUUGUGAGACACUCUCUGUGUGCCUCACAGAUGCAACUUUUCAUUGCUUUGUAACGUUAUGAUAUUCUGAAUGUGCCUGUUUACUCUGUCUAAUACUGCACUGUUUCAAUUAAAUCUUCCCCUGAAAGCGUCCAUACCACAAAAAAUAUCUUGUCAAUGCGUACAUGUACAUGUAGCAGUGAUGGUUUUUUGGACCGUCUUUGUGCAAGUUUUGGCAAAAAUCAGACUUUUUACUCAUGAUAUUGCCUCGCCUCUACGAACAAUCAGCACAUUUAGACAGUUUUAGACAGAGUAAGCACUUUCAGAAUCCCAUAACAUUAUAAAACAAUGAAAAGUUGCAUCUGUGAGGCACACGAAGAAGGCCUCAAAAAUUCAGGGAGUAGACGUGGUGCACCAAUGGACCUACCCAUGAUUGUACCCCAAAUUGUGUUGUCACAUCAGUAUGAUAAUUAUGGUGCCUUCAUCAUAUACUGCCACGUUGAUGAAGGAAUAGGGUCGAUGCAGCAAGCACUGUGAAUGGUGUAGCCUAGCAUUGUGCUCCCCACACAAGAAGCGUCAGAUUGCGCUUUGAGGCAUCUUUAACCUUGCAUGUGGUAGGCAGUGCGCACGAACGGACUACGAAUGGAACGGACUACGAGGGUAAACUGUGUGGUAGACACUGACAUCCUCCAUUGCCAUGGAGACAACUGUGCUUGCAGAGGUUACCAACCGAAUUCCAAGUCAGAAAGUAAAGCAAUGAAAAGGUGACACUUUCUUCACGUCACACAAACACCAGUGGAAGUUUUAUUGGCUAUCAGAGGUCACAUGACAAGCAUGCUCAGUUGGUCGGGCCAAGUCACCGAUGUCUGGUUGUUACAAGACUGAACCCAAGAUGUCCCCAGCAACCUUGGAGUCCUUAAACGUUAGUUGGUUGAACCUGUGACGCAAGAUGUCUAAGUCGGCUCAAACAUUAGUUGGUCCCUCCUUCAGCUUCAGCAUCACAGACUUUAAGGCUAGAGCAAGGCUCCAAAUCUUGACUGCAACUUUCUUCUGCUGUUUGCUAUUGAAAAAUGUUCAAUUAUGAAUUCCAAGUUCAGAAACUGUUUGUUAAAUUGAAUUUAAAGAAAAGGCGACAUGUCUCUUCAAAAGUGAUGGUCUUUGAAAUCAGAGACUUUUUCCGAUAACGUUUUCAAACUGUUGUAGUUUUGUGAUGAACAAAUUUCACAGUGUUGGCAUUCAGCCAGAGAGUUUGCAAUAAAACAGGUAAAGUGAA